GCUUGUCUCAAAGAUUAAGCCAUGCAUGUCUAAGUAUAAACAAAUCUAUACUGUGAAACUGCGAAUGGCUCAUUAUAUCAGUUAUAGUUUAUUUGAUGGUUCUUGCUACUUGGAUAACCGUAGUAAUUCUAGAGCUAAUACAUGCAUCAAACCUCGACUUUUUUGGAAGAGGUGUAUUUAUUAGAUGGAAACCAAUGCGGGGCAACCCGGAUUCAGGUGAUUCAUAAUAACUUUCGGAUCGUUUACGAUGCAUCAUUCAAGUUUCUGCCCUAUCAGCUUUGGAUGGUAGGGUAUUGGCCUACCAUGGCUUUAACGGGUAACGGAGAAUUAGGGUUCGAUUCCGGAGAGGGAGCCUGAGAAAUGGCUACCACAUCCAAGGAAGGCAGCAGG
rnacentral:rRNA from 1 species